AUGAACGCUGGCGGCGUGCUUAACACCUGCAAGUCGAACGGUGAACACGGAGCUUGCUCUGUGGGAUCAGUGGCGAACGGGUGAGUAACACGUGAGCAACCUGCCCCUGACUCUGGGAUAAGCGCUGGAAACGGCGUCUAAUACUGGAUAUGUGACGUGACCGCAUGGUCUGCGUUUGGAAAGAUUUUUCGGUUGGGGUUGGGCUCGCGGCCUAUCAGCUUGUUGGUGAGGUAAUGGCUCACCAAGGCGUCGACGGGUAGCCGGCCUGAGAGGGUGACUGGCCACACUGGGAUUGAGACACGGCCCAGACUCCUACGGGAGGCAGCAGUGGGGAAUAUUGCACAAUGGGCGAAAGCCUGAUGCAGCAACGCCGCGUGAGGGAUGACGGCCUUCGGGUUGUAAACCUUUUUUAGCAGGGAAGAAGCGAAAGUGACGGUACCUGCAGAAAAAGCGCCGGCUAACUACGUG
rnacentral:rRNA from 1 species